rnacentral:lncRNA from 1 species
CUUUGAGAGAACAUUAUUGUUGCAAAGAAAAUUCUGCAGAGGUGUGUUUGCUGUCACUGGUGUUUGAGCUCAACCUGUAGGUUGAAUAUGUUUGACUUUGAAAUAUGUUUGGCAAAGGUGUUGGACCAGUGGCUGGUUUAGGGUAAGAGUGCUAGACAACUUCAUCAUUUAUGAUAAAUUUAAUUCAGGAUGUUCCUGGAUGAGCUGCCCUUCAAGCUAACCAAGCAUUGUUCUUUUUGCGAUAAGCCACAACUGCAAUAUCAAAUGACGUCCCAUUCAUGUUUGGUCUGACAAACCACAGGUCAAAAUCUAUAAGGACAAGGAUUUACCAGUGCCAGGAUUAGGAUGCAAAAAUCUGGAUGGCCACUAUAUAUCUCUGCUGCCAUCUGUGAGUUCUCAAUUUUUGCAAUUCAGAUCUGGCAACCCUAGACAGGAUCCCACAAUAUGGGAGGAAGUUAGUGAAAAGUUUGCUCUCAAAGAUUUUGAAGGACUACUCAAAUCAUCUCUGCUUCAUGCCACUUCUAUCCAAUUUCUUUUAAAAUAUUUAAUGUAAAUGAGAGACAGAUUUCCCACUACUCGAUCAUCUUAUAAAGUAGAAGUAGAAGAUUUCAGACAGACAGCCAUUGCAGAAUAAUCCAGGGGACUGCAGAGCUAAAGGCUUCAAAGCAUAACUGGUAAACUACAUUAAAUCAUUGUUUACAUAAACAUGAUAUACUAUAUAUAUAUAUAUGAUCCAUUAUGUAU